rnacentral:rRNA from 1 species
GAGGAACGAGGGGGGCGUGCCUAAUACAUGCAAGUAGAACGCUGAAGGAGGAGCUUGCUCUUCUGGAUGAGUUGCGAACGGGUGAGUAACGCGUAGGUAACCUGCCUGGUAGCGGGGGAUAACUAUUGGAAACGAUAGCUAAUACCGCAUGACAACAGUUAUUGCAUGAUAACUGUUUAAAAGGGGCAACUGCUCCACUACCAGAUGGACCUGCGUUGUAUUAGCUAGUUGGUGAGGUAACGGCUCACCAAGGCGACGAUACAUAGCCGACCUGAGAGGGUGAUCGGCCACACUGGGACUGAGACACGGCCCAGACUCCUACGGGAGGCAGCAGUAGGGAAUCUUCGGCAAUGGACGGAAGUCUGACCGAGCAACGCCGCGUGAGUGAAGAAGGUUUUCGGAUCGUAAAGCUCUGUUGUAAGAGAAGAACGAGUGUGAGAGUGGAAAGUUCACACUGUGACGGUAUCUUACCAGAAAGGGACGGCUAACUACGUG